GAGAAAGUCAUAUAGGAUAUGGGACUGGCUUGAAACCAGUUUWAGGGGGUUCGAUUCCUUCCUUUCUUA
rnacentral:tRNA from 1 species